UCUCAUGGCCUGUCAGUCCUUGCAUCCAAUGUGUCUGAAUUUGAAUGUUGGCCCUAGCUACAUUUCUCCAGCCACAUCUCAUCCAUUCUCUGCUAGGCCUAAUAAUGAUGGGGCUUCACAAUCAUAUUCUUGUGAAUGCAAAAUCAGAGAUGGAUCCAUAGGUCUAUAGUAAUGCCUUCAGUAUUGAUCAUUGUUAAAGUUAGAUAUGAAAAACACGGACACAACUACAUUAAAGUAUUGAAAUAAAACCGUUUUUUCUUCUUACCUGCAGAAAUGACUGGUGGCAGCCUGCAUCACAUAGAAGAUGAACAGGGGUGACUGGGGAAACAGAUUGAAGAAGGUGGAACAACUAGCUCAGUCCUUCCAGCAGUGUCCUUUCGCUUCAAACCAAGGCUGUCCCGGUCAUGGCAGCCAUCCUCCAUAUGGAAGCUCUUCCCCCGUCAAUCUAACUGUAGUUUUGACUGCCCUCUACUUCAAAGGACGUACACGUGUUUGCACUUGAGAAGGAACAGGCCAAGAUGGGUGGGAGGAUCUUCCUGGUCACAAGUUACAGUGAGCUAUGGCAUUACUACAGUAUGUGUGUGAGAAGCUGGAGGAGGUGUAUGGGAUUGAACCUUAAAUCCAGUACAGAAGAAAAAUUCCGUUGCCAUCUCAUCAACAAACUAGAAUGGUCCAAACACACCAAGACAGUUGUGAAGAGGGCACAACAAAGCCUAUUCCCCAUUAGGAAACUAAAAACAUUUGGCAUGGGUCCUGAGAUCCUCAAAAGGUUCUCCAGCUGCAACAUCAAGAGCAUGGUUGCAUCACUGCCUGGUAUGGCAAUUGCUCGGCCUCUGACCGCAAGGCACUACAGAGGGUAGUGUGUACGGCCCAGUACAUCACUGGGGCUAAGCUGCCUGCCAUCCAGGACCUCUACACCAGGCGGUGUCAGAGGAAGGUCCUAAAAAUUGUCAAAGACCCCAGCCCUAAACUGUUCUCUCUACUACCGGAGUGCCAAGUCUAGGACAAAAAGGCUUCUCAACAGUUUUUACCCCCAAGCCAUAAUACUCCUGAUCAGGUAAUCAAAUGGCUACGCGGACUAUUUGCAUUGUGUGCCCCCCCCCAACCCUUCUUUUUACACUGUUGCUGAUGUUUUUUUUGCUGUUUAUCAUAUAUGCAUAGUCACUUUAACUAUACAUUCAUGUACAUACUACCUCAAUCAGCCUGACUAACCGGUGUCUGUAUGUAGCCUCGCUACUUUUAUAGCCUCGCUACUGUAUAUAGCCUGUCUUUUUACUGUUGUUUUAUUUCUUUACCUACCUAUUGUUCACCUAAUACAUUUUUUGUAUUUGUUGGUUAGAGCCUGUAAGUAAGCAUUUCACCGUAAGGUCUACUACACCUGUUGUAUUCGGCGUACGUAACAAGUAAACUUGGAUUUGAUUUGAUUUGACCAAAUGCACAUUUUAAGGAUAACCUACAUGUCGGUAAGUAAUCUCCUACGGUCUCUGAUGUAAAGUGGAAAUGAGACAAUAGAUAGAGAUAUAUACACUGAAAAAUAUAAAGUGUUUGUCCCUUGUUUCAUGAGCUGAAGUAAAAUAUGUUGGCAUGCUGACUGCAGGAAUGUACACCAGAGCUGUUCCUUGAGAAUUGAAUGUUAAUUUCUCUACCAUAAGCCGCCUCCAAAGUCGUUUUAGAGAAUUUAGCAGUACGUCCAACCAACCGGCCUCACAACUGCAGACCGCGUGUAUGGUGUUGUGUGGGCGAGCAGUUUGCUGAUGUCAACGUUGUGAACAGAGUGCCCCAUUGUGGCAGUGGGGUUAUGGUAUGGUCGAGCAUAAGCUACGGACAAUGAACACAAUUGCAUUUUAUCAAUGGCAAUUUGAACGCGCAAAAAUACAGUGACGAGAUCCUGAGGUCCAUUGUGAGGCCCAUUUUUUUUUAAAGGUAUCUGUGACCAACAGAUGCAUAUCUGUAUUCCCAGUCAUGUGACAUUCAUAGAUUAGGGCCUGAUAAAUUUAUUUACAUUGACUGAUUUCCUCAUAUGAACUGUAAAUCAAUGAAAUUGUUACAUGUUGCAUUUAUGUUUUUGUUCAGUAUAGAUAUUAAACUCAAC